UGCAGAGAGCCACACCACCAAUCACACUCCCAGAUCCACCUGUGCUUUCUGGAUACACCCUUCUCAGAAGCUUGUAGGAAAGGCCAAAUUAUUGCCUCGCAGGGUGGGAGGAUGUUGCUCUUACUGUCACAAUAGAAGAAAGGGGAAAAAAGGUUUAAGUUUGGUUUUGGUUUUUUGUUUGUUUGUUUUUUUCAACUAUCACUAUGACUAAUGCAAGUCUUCAUAUUACCUCACAGUGCUACUGAGAAGGAGAUACUGGUGCUACUGGGUGGAGGAUUCUAAUUACUCAUCUGCAAACAGCUGAACUGUGAAGUCUACAGUCCCACUAAUCCUGCCCUUGCAGUUUAUCUCAGCUGCCUGCUGCACCUUUUGAAUAUGGAGUGCUGAAAGGGGAAAACUGUUUAAAAUAGAUCCACACAGACAAAGAAGUCCCAUGACAGCUAAUAAAAACAAAUUCUUA